AUCCUGUUGACGAGCCCCAAAUAGGACGAAACGUGUGUCCUGGAC
rnacentral:hammerhead_ribozyme from 1 species